rnacentral:rRNA from 1 species
UCCGUCAAUUCCUUUAAGUUUCUGUUUGUUGCCCCCGCCCGCCUACGCGAUGCAGCAGUGGGGAAUUUUGGACAAUGGGCGCAAGCCUGAUCCAGCCAUUCCGCGUGAGUGAAGAAGGCCUUCGGGUUGUAAAGCUCUUUCGCAAGGGAAGAAAACUUAGUCUCUAACAUAGACUGAGGCUGACGGUACCUUGAUAAGAAGCACCGGCUAACUACGUGCCAGCAGCCGCGGUAAUACGUAGGGUGCGAGCGUUAAUCGGAAUUACUGGGCGUAAAGCGUGCGCAGGCGGCCUGAUAAGUUAGAUGGUAAAGCCCCGAGCUCAACCAUGGAACUGCGUUUGCAACUAUCACGCUAGAAUAUGUCAGAGGGGGGUAGAAUUCCACGUGUAGCAGUGAAAUGCGUAGAGAUGUGGAGGAACACCAAUGGCGAAGGCAGCCCCCUGGGAUAAAACUGACGCUGAUGCAUGAAAGCGUGGGGAGCAAACAGGAUUAGAUACCCUGGUAGUCCACGCCCUAAACGAUGACUACUAGUGUUGGUGGAGUAAAAUCCAUGAGUAACGCAGCUAACGCGGAAGUACACGCCUGGAGCCCA